rnacentral:rRNA from 1 species
GACGAACGCUGGCGGCGUGCUUAACACAUGCAAGUCGAACGGAAAGGCCCUGCUUUUGUGGGGUGCUCGAGUGGCGAACGGGUGAGUAACACGUGAGUAACCUGCCCUUGACUUUGGGAUAACUUCAGGAAACUGGGGCUAAUACCGGAUAGGAGCUCCUGCUGCAUGGUGGUGGUUGGAAAGUUUCGGCGGUUGGGGAUGUACUCGCGGCUUAUCAGCUUGUUGGUGGGGUAGUGGCUUACCAAGGCUUUGACGGGUAGCCGGCCUGAGAGGGUGACCGGCCACAUUGGGACUGAGAUACGGCCCAGACGCCUACGGGAGGCAGCAGUGGGGAAUAUUGCACAAUGGGCGGAAGCCUGAUGCAGCAACGCCGCGUGCGGGAUGACGGCCUUCGGGUUGUAAACCGCUUUCGCCUGUGACGAAGCGUGAGUGACGGUAAUGGGUAAAGAAGCACCGGCUAACUACGUG